AGGGUGUAAACGCUGCGGGCUUGGUGUUGGGGGUCCUUAGUGGGCGCCCAGUGCCGGAGAGAAGUUGUUAAGCCUGCUGCUUGGGGAGUAUGUCCGCAAGGAUGAAACUUAAAGGAAUUGGCGGGGGAGCACCGCAACGGGAGGAGCGUGCGGUUCAAUUGGAUUCAACGCCGGACAACUCACCAGGAGCGACGGUUACAUGAAGGCCAGGCUGAUGACCUUGCCUGAUUUUCCGAGAGGUGGUGCAUGGCGUCAGUGACU
rnacentral:rRNA from 1 species